GCACGGCUCAAGGUCUGUCUACUGUGAAGUUGAAGCGCUGUUAUUACGGUAUACCCCUCCACCGCACGUAUCAGACAGGUCACUGGACUGCAAAGAUUGCAGCCCAAAUUUCAGUGUAGCAUGGGCGCUAAAUGCGUAAAAAGAACGUACAGUUGCUAACUUGCUGUGAUUAUGAACUAAAUUUAGGUGUAUUAUUAUUAUGAAAAUUUUGUCAAUAUAUAAUGAAGACAACAUUCUAACUGAAUCUUUAUAAAAAAAACUUGAUGAAAUUUUUUAAUUCUGGUAUAGAAGUAUGUAGAUGUAUCAGACGUCUGGCAGUUUUGGAGGGGUGGCUGCAGUCCUGCAGCCCUUAUGGAUGAGCCGCCACUGCUGAUCCAGUGUGUGGAUUAUUUUGAACAUCUUUUUUGGCUGCCCGGAGUCGGUGGAUACCUAGCAGUGAGCAUUAUAUGGAUGAUGUCGUUGAUUCAACAUGAUUAACUUGCUCCAAGUCCGCCUCGUGGGCCUUAGACCCCAGACUCGCCAUGUGUCUGGCUACCACCGAUCACAACAGUGGUCGUCAGUCGUUGAGUGUUCUACUCUGGGACAUGCCUUGAAGUUAUAUGGUCCAGAGUGUUGUUAUAUGUGUUUGGGGAUAAUUAUCUGGAAUAUAAUUAUCCCAUGUUGGGUAGUGAACCAUGUAUAAGUUGUUGGUUUCAAUAAUAACGUGAUGUGAGUGCAUCUCAUAUGUACUAACAACAGUUUGUGAAGGUAUGAUAUGUAAGUUUGUCGUAUAACUGGAUGUAAUGAAAUGUACCUAGUAAUGUGUGAGAAGUAAGGUUGUCCACUUGGGACUAACUGAGUAAAGCCAUGGAGUUGAUCCUGGUAACUGUUAAUGUAAUGUAUCACCAGUAAUGUGGGAGAAGUCAGAGUACCCACUUGGAAUGGCAUGUGAGUAAAGCCAAGGAGUUGUCAUAUGUCUAUAUGUUAUGUAAGUAAAGCCAAGGAAUUGGUCCUGGUAACUGUAAUGUAAUGUAACACCAGUAAGGUUGUGUGUACUGUAGUAAGAGUACAGUAUCUGAGUAAAUUGCAGUUGAGUAAAGCCGAGGAGUUGCACCUUGGAGUUACAGGUAUAUGUUAAUGAUAUCUUUUUCCCUACUUUGAUUUCAUAUUAAUAAACCUUUUCUUAGAGUA